AAGCCCUCAUAAUAGUUUGCUUUUCCUCUUUGCAGCUACUAUUUCAGUAAAAUAUUGAUGUGCUAAAACAGUAAUGUGGAGAGAAGUCGUUUCUCCAAUGAAAAAUAAUAGCUCAAGAAGGUGAUUUCAGAUCUUCCUUGUGAGGUACUUCAGAAGGUGCGUGGAAUUUUAUGAAAUGAUUUCCUAGGCAUCAACAAAAGUACUUUUGC